UACGUAGGGUGCAAGCGUUAUCCGGAAUUUAUUGGGCGUAAAAGAGCUCGUAGGCGGUCUGUCGCGUCGAAUGUGAAAAAUCCGGGGGCUCAACCCCCGGACCUGCAUUCGAUACGGGCAGACUAGAGUUCGGUAGGGGGAGUCUGGAAUUCCUGGUGUAGCGGUGAAAUACGCAGAUAUCAGGAGGAACACCGGUGGCGAAGGCGGGACUCUGGGGCCGAUACUGACGCUGAGGAGCGAAAAGCGUGGGGGGAGCAAAACAGG
rnacentral:rRNA from 1 species